CGGGGGAUAGCGCAGUUGGCUAGCGCGCUUGCUUUGGGAGCAAGAGGUCCAGGGUUCGAAUCCCUGUCCCCCGA
rnacentral:tRNA from 1 species